AUUUAAGGCACUGGCGAAAAAAGGGGUGAAGUCAUUUUACUUCUCACCAUCUUAAUUAAAACAUUGCUUCGGAAAAGCAAUAAUGCAAAUGAAAAGUGUCACAAAACUAUAUCUGUUACUGCUUACCUGCACGACAUGCACGUGCAGCACGAGUCGUUUCCAAUACAUCGAGAACAACUUCGAACUGACGUCAUGUCCACCCGACUGUCGGCACUUUCUCUCGGAUUUGGAAUUUGACCAACUUGUUUUCUCCAGUCGAAAGGACAUUGAUGAUUGUGAAAACAUAUGUUCACAAAUCAUGGCGAAAGAGACUUCUCUGAUUUUGAUCAACCAAGUCUGUCCGUCUGUCUGUAUCACGUAAGAAUAUUCAUAGUAUACAUAAUUAUUGGCACAGUGCAUGUUAUGACAUUCAGUUCUACCAAAUUAAUAUUGAAAGGAAAAAAAUAAUUAAAAUGCAUAUCCAACGGAAUAAACAUUGCAGCGAUAAUUUGAGUUGCGC